rnacentral:rRNA from 1 species
GUAGGCAUACAUCCAUCCCUGAAGGCACCGGAUCUCAUCUGAUCUGGGAAGCUAAGCAGGGUCAGGCCCGGUCGGGACCUGGAUGGGAGGACCGUUUUAUAUUUGGAUUUUCUGUUCUGUUCCACUGGUCUGUGUCCU